GCCCGGGUGGUGAAAUUGGUAUACACGCUAGCUUCAGGAGUUAGUGAUCGAAAGAUCGUGCUGGUUCGAGUCCAGUCCCGGGCA
rnacentral:tRNA from 1 species